rnacentral:rRNA from 1 species
AGCGAACAGAUGAGAAGCUUGCUUCUCUGAUGUUAGCGGCGGACGGGUGAGUAACACGUGGGUAACCUACCUAUAAGACUGGGAUAACUCCGGGAAACCGGGGCUAAUACCGGAUAAUAUUUUGAACCGCAUGGUUCGAUAGUGAAAGACGGUUUCGGCUGUCACUUAUAGAUGGACCCGCGCCGUAUUAGCUAGUUGGUAAGGUAACGGCUUACCAAGGCGACGAUACGUAGCCGACCUGAGAGGGUGAUCGGCCACACUGGAACUGAGACACGGUCCAGACUCCUACGGGAGGCAGCAGUAGGGAAUCUUCCGCAAUGGGCGAAAGCCUGACGGAGCAACGCCGCGUGAGUGAUGAAGGUCUUCGGAUCGUAAAACUCUGUUGUUAGGGAAGAACAAAUUUGUUAGUAACUGAACAAGUCUUGACGGUACCUAACCAGAAAGCCACGGCUAACUACGUGCCAGCAGCCGCGGUAAUACGUAGGUGGCAAGCGUUAUCCGGAAUUAUUGGGCGUAAAGCGCGCGUAGGCGGUUUCUUAAGUCUGAUGUGAAAGCCCACGGCUCAACCGUGGAGGGUCAUUGGAAACUGGGAAACUUGAGUGCAGAAGAGGAGAGUGGAAUUCCAUGUGUAGCGGUGAAAUGCGCAGAGAUAUGGAGGAACACCAGUGGCGAAGGCGGCUCUCUGGUCUGUAACUGACGCUGAUGUGCGAAAGCGUGGGGGAUCAAACAGGAUUAGAUACCCUGGGUAGUCCACGCCGUAAACGAUGAGUGCUAAGUGUUAGGGGGUUUCCGCCCCUUAUGCUGCAGCUAACGCAUUAAGCACUCCGCCUGGGGGAGUACGACCGCCGGGUGGGAAUCUCAAAGGAAUUGACGG